rnacentral:rRNA from 1 species
AUAAGGGCGCACGGUGGAUGCCUUGGCACUAGGAGCCGAUGAAGGACGGGACUAACACCGAUAUGCUUUGGGGAGCUGUAAGUAAGCUAUGAUCCAGAGAUUUCCGAAUGGGGGAACCCAAUAUCUUUUAUAGGAUAUUACUUUUCAGUGAAUACAUAGCUGAUUAGAGGUAGACGCAGAGAACUGAAACAUCUUAGUACCUGCAGGAAGAGAAAGAAAAUUCGAUUCCCUGAGUAGCGGCGAGCGAAACGGGAAGAGCCCAAACCAACAAGCUUGCUUGUUGGGGUUGUAGGACUCCAAUAUGGUAGUCUGUUAGUAUAGUUGAAGGAUUUGGAAAAUUCCGCUAAAGAGGGUGAAAGCCCCGUAGACGAAAUGCUAACAACACCUAGGAGGAUCCUGAGUACGGCGGAACACGAGAAAUUCCGUCGGAAUCCGCGGGGACCAUCCCGCAAGGCUAAAUACUCCCUAGUGACCGAUAGUGAACCAGUACCGUGAGGGAAAGGUGAAAAGCACCCCGGAAGGGGAGUGAAAUAGAUCCUGAAACCGUGUGCCUACAACAAGUCAAAGCUCGUUAAUGAGUGAUGGCGUGCCUUUUGUAGAAUGAACCGGCGAGUUACGAUUGCAUGCGAGGUUAAGUCGAAGAGACGGAGCCGCAGCGAAAGCGAGUCUGAAUAGGGCGAAUGAGUAUGUAGUCGUAGACCCGAAACCAUGUGAUCUACCCAUGUCCAGGUUGAAGGUGCGGUAAAACGCACUGGAGGACCGAACCCACGUACGUUGAAAAGUGCGGGGAUGAGGUGUGGGUAGCGGAGAAAUUCCAAACGAACUUGGAGAUAGCUGGUUCUCUCCGAAAUAGCUUUAGGGCUAGCCUCGGAAUUGAGAAUGAUGGAGGUAGAGCACUGUUUGGACUAGGGGCCCAUCUCGGGUUACCGAAUUCAGAUAAACUCCGAAUGCCAUUCAUUUAUAUCCGGGAGUCAGACUGCGAGUGAUAAGAUCCGUAGUCGAAAGGGAAACAGCCCAGACCACCAGCUAAGGUCCCAAAAUAUAUGUUAAGUGGAAAAGGAUGUGGGGUUGCACAGACAACUAGGAUGUUGGCUUAGAAGCAGCCACCAUUUAAAGAGUGCGUAAUAGCUCACUAGUCGAGUGACCCUGCGCCGAAAAUGUACCGGGGCUAAACAUAUUACCGAAGCUGUGGACUACACCAUUAGGUGUAGUGGUAGGAGAGCGUUCUAAGGGCGUUGAAGGUCGAUCGUGAGGACGGCUGGAGCGCUUAGAAGUGAGAAUGCCGGUAUGAGUAGCGAAAGACAGGUGAGAAUCCUGUCCACCGUAUGACUAAGGUUUCCUGGGGAAGGCUCGUCCGCCCAGGGUUAGUCGGGACCUAAGCCGAGGCCGAUAGGCGUAGGCGAUGGACAACAGGUUGAUAUUCCUGUACCAGUUGUUUUUGUUUGAGCAAUGGAGGGACGCAGUAGGCUAAGGAAUGCAUGCGAUUGGAAGUGCAUGUCCAAGCAAUGAGUCUUGAG